AUUUUAGUUUGAGUUACUCAAGCAUAAUUUGAAUUUUAAAGUUCUUAUUUCAUUGUUUUGCUAUUUGGUUUUAUGAGCUAAAUAUGUUAAUCAAUUAAUUUUAUUCUUGUUUGUAGAGAUGUUAUUCUCAACGAGCUUGCAGAAAUAAAAGUUCUUUUAAAAGAAGUUAUAGAAAUUAAGUUUCAGGCUACUGGGGUGAAGUUGCUAGAAUCAGUGAACGAAGUGGUUACACUAGAUAAUAAACUAAAAGAUAAAACCGAGUAUACUAAUUUGCUUGAUAGUUUAAAAAAGAUUGGUGGUGGAAAGCCAAGAGAACAUGUUUUUUUGAUCAUGAAAAGGUUAUUUUCGAAUCAGUUACAGUCCAAAUUUAAUCGAAAAGGAAAUGGGGAAAAGAUAAGCAUA